rnacentral:lncRNA from 1 species
UAAUUCGGGAGGGGGAUUCAAUGGUAAUAUAAUGGAUAACCCGGAGAAUGAAACAUGUAGUUCUAUUGGAUUGAGGAGAAGAGUGAUGGGUACACUCACACAAGCUAGUGGAGAGAAUAAAAAGUGUGAAUAUGAGAAGAAAAAGAGUGAAAAGAAAGUGGUUGUUAAAGGUGAUGUUGAUAAUAAGAAAAAUGAGGGAGAAAAAAGUGAGAUUGGGAGUAAUGAC